rnacentral:rRNA from 1 species
UACGGGGGGGGGCAAGCGUUGUUCGGAAUUACUGGGCGUAAAGGGCUCGUAGGCGGCCAACUAAGUCGGAUGUGAAAUCCCUAGGCUCAACCUAGGAACUGCGUCUGAUACUGGAUGGCUUGAAUCCGGGAGAGGGAUGCAGAAUUCCAGGUGUAGCGGUGAAAUGCGUAGAUAUCUGGAGGAACACCGGUGGCGAAGGCGGCAUUCUGGACCAUAACUGACACUGAGAGACGAAAGCCAGGGGAGCAAACGGG